UCACGUUCCUCAAGUUUUGACUGCACCAAAUGUCAACAAGGUUAUUAUGGACAAACUUGUUCCUAUGCCUGUCCACAAGGAUGUGAUGGAGGCUGUUCAAAGGUAACAGGGCGAUGUUUAGAAUGCAUGGAAGGAUUAUAUGGGAAUUUUUGCAACAGUACGAACACGUGUAAGGAGGGCUUGUAUGGACAUUCAUGUUCUAGAAAAUGUCGAAGUAAGGAUCAAUAUUGUAGGAAAUGUACAACAAACACCGGGGGUGGAUACGGGGGUUGUUUACAAUGCAUCACAGGUAGAUAUCCAGUUUUAGUACAAAGGUACAAAACGUGCGAAUGUGUCCAGAAGAGUGCAAAGAUAAUGUAUGUUAUUCGACUGACGGAUAUUGUUCCCUUGGAUGUAUUCGAAACACGUGGGGAAAUACAUGCCAGUUAGAAUGUACACCUAACUGCGUACAAUGUAACCAGACGAACGGACACUGUACUGUCUGUAACAGACAAACAUAUUUGAACGUUCAAAGAUAUGUAGCACUGAUUGCUAUUCAACUGGCAGUAAACGAAUUUGCGCCCUCGACACAGGUAAAUGUUUAAUAGGAUGUAAUACAUAUACAAAACACGGACAUUUCUGCGAACUUUACUGUAGCAAAACGUGCAAAAGUCAAAGUUGCGACUGGCAAACGGGACAAUGCAUGUAUGGAUGUACAGAAAAUUAUUUUGGUACAUUUUGUGAAAAUGAGUGUUCAUCGACAUGCAAGGCAAUUCAAGGGAGACCACUAUGCAAUGAAUCAAGCGGCCAUUGUAUUUCAGAGUGUAUAGAUGGAAUUUACGGAAGCAAAUGCGAUAAAAAAUGCAGUGCCAAUUGUGCCAAUACAACAUGUAUACAAUCUACUGCUACGUGUGUCUAUGGGUGUAUCCAAGGGUACGAAGGUCCCACAUGUUUAAAGCCUAUGAAAAUAAUUGGAGAUGGCAGUCACAGCACGGGUGUGCUUGUUGGAGCAACAGUCGGAACGCUGUUUAUUGGUCUUAUAUCUGGAGUUGGGUUUUCAUUUAUUUUUGUUUUAUGGAAAAGAAGGUAUGCCGGUGUCCAGUAAUGUUAAGAGCCAUACACAAAUAUUUUACAAAAAUAAAUUACCUUAGAUUUUUCAUGUUACUUAAAGUUAUGUUGUACAAUGUUUUGUUGGAUUAAAAAUAAAUGAGUCUUCGCUCAGUUGUUGUUAGACUAAGUACUGCAAAUAAUAGGAAUUUAGAAUUCACUGUUUUGUAAAUAUAUGAGUGCCAAAACAGGUCUUCCUAAGCUUUUGAACAGAGGUAACAUUUCAGAUUGUUCAGAUAAUUAGUCGUAUAAUCAUUACAAUUGAUUACAAAGAAUAAAACAUGAUUCUGAACACUACACUACAGGCGUAAUCGGCUUCUUUAACUUUAGAUGGCGGCAGAACAACUCGCCACAGUUAUACUAAGUAUUGUACUUGUUACAUACUUCUUUGUUUAUGGGCCAUAGAUUGUAUACUCCUAACUAUCAUGUAAAAAGACAGCAAGAUAAAUGUUUCACGGAAGUUCCUUAAUAUUUGUUUUUAAUGUCCAAAUCCACUUUUACGGUCCAGACUGGUACUUUUAUUAUGUCACGUAAUAUUUUUUCAUAUGUUAAAUUUAAUCGACAUUUUUUCGUUUUGUAGAAACACAAGGAAUAAUAAGGAAUUGCAAUCACAAAAUCAAAACAAAUUUGAAAACUUUGGAGCAAAUGUCAGGGAAGAAACGAACACUGGCGAAGAUUCUCACAAAAGAAGCGCACAUGUCGACUACGAAAAUGAAAUGCCGAUGACAUAUGAAGAUCUGAAAAAGCAAGAGACAAGGACAUACAGCCAACUGACUUCAGACAACUGUGACUCGAAUCAUCCUGCUGCUGAAUAUAUAAACUGUUAAAUGCACGCUAGUAAAUAAGACAUUCGUAUAACUGCCUAGUGUACUUUACUGAUAAAAAACCUGUCUUAAAAUAUAUCAUCUCAUCGUUUUAAGACAUUAGACCAACUACGACAAAGCGCCUGGCAAUACAGAGGAGUCUGUAAAUUCAGCACGAAAUCAACCAACACACUACUAAUAGUUUCAGUGCUAAUCUAUGUCGAAGGAUCAAGUAUACAUUGUCCGUAGUUUAUGUUCUUAUGAGUUUAUGUUUUGUAUCCCCCAUAUUGUCUUCCGUAGUCGUGUUCUUGAAUUUAGUUAUUAAAAGUCUUCUGUAGUCUUGUUAUUGUAUCAAAUCGUGUUUAUGCAUUAUUCUUCAUCCAAUAAACUUCUU